GUGUGACUCAUGAAUGAAGGAACUGGUACUGAAAAUUAUGAUCAGUGACAUCUAUGGCUGUGAGAAACAAGUAAUAAUGGAUUUCAUGGUCCUGACAGGAGUGAAGAAAUCAAGUUUGAAGAGCAGGUCCCUGGACACCAGGGGAAAGGAAAAAUAUCUCUUUAGGAAACUGGGAUAGAUCUGUGAAGGACAAAGAAAUUCAGUUGCAUAGGACAACAUCCUCCACCUUCAAGACAGGUCUAUCUCAACAUUCAGAGAAACAUCUGGACAUAUCAAGAGACUGAUGCAGCUAAACAGAGAACUUAUGAUUGAGAUUGCAAAAAGGUCAAUACAAAAGCUGGAAGUGAUGACAGACUGUACUUCUAGCCAAGGAAUUUUCAGUAAACCUUGCCUCAUACAAGAGUAGACCAAACAGGAUGCAUCUGAGAAUGCUAAGAGAACUUGCUGCUCUUGGCUGUCUUUGAAAAACUUACAAAACCUGUUACGGUUGGAGAAAGGAAAAUGUAGCCAUCAGCUUCAAAACCUGCAAGAGAAACAUUCGAGGGAUCUACAGAUUGGACAGUUUCACUCUUGUGUCUGGGAAAAUUAUGGAGUAAGUGGUCUUGGAAGCCAUUUCUGGAUGCAUGAAAUGAAGGCUUCUGCAAAUGGCCAGUGUGAAUUUAUCAGGACUGUCAGGAACAUGUCAGCAGCCAAGGAAUUAGUCGCUGAAUGCAAGACAGGAAGAUCUGUUGGUGUUUUCCUUGAUGGCUGCUUCUGCUGAUUACCUUCAGGGAGGCAAAUGCUGGAAAGAGCAUAUGCCAGAAAGGAAAAAAAUAGCAGCUAGAGUAUUCAUGCAAUUUGCUCUUGCAAAGACUCCAGAGGAUGAGACCACAUUGGGUUUUUUUUGACUAAGUUAACAGGUAAGUAAAAUACAUAAUUUCUAAUGACCUAUAUCAGAGUACCUAAAAUAAUUAAAAAUAA
rnacentral:lncRNA from 1 species